GGGUUGAUGGUGCAAUGGUUAGCACACUCAUGUUUGAGAUCAAAGACUUGAAAGAUCUGUGGUUUGAAUCCCAGUCUAUCCA